rnacentral:lncRNA from 1 species
UUUUGGAAUACCGUGUCAACACUGAGAAGGAUGAACUGAUAUCAAAUAUCUUGCGUAUGUUUCCGAGGGUGGUUUACCGGAUGGUGGUCUGCUACAACUCAGCCAUUUAUUGUGGUCUGUUUUUUCAGUGAGUCAAGGUCUCUUAAGUCUCCAAGCUAAACAGGAGUACUGCCUGAAGCCAGAAUGCAUCGAAGCGGCUGCUGCCAUCUUAAGUAAAGUAAAUCUGUCUGUGGAUCCUUGUGAUAAUUUCUUCCGGUUCGCUUGUGAUGGCUGGAUAAGCAAUAAUCCAAUUCCCGAAGAUAUGCCAAGCUAUGGGGUUUAUCCUUGGCUGAGACAUAAUGUUGACCUCAAGUUGAAGGGUAAUACAGGCUCAUCGUAGACCAACCAC